GACGAACGCUGGCGGCGUGCUUAACACAUGCAAGUCGAACGGAAAGGCCCUGCUUUUGUGGGGUUCUCGAGUGGCGAACGGGUGAGUAACACGUGAGUAACCUGCCCUUGACUGUGGGAUAACUUCAGGAAACUGGGGCUAAUACCGGAUAGGAGCUCCUGCUGCAUGGUGGGGGUUGGAAAGUUUCGGCGGUUGGGGAUGGACUCGCGGCUUAUCAGCUUGUUGGUGGGGUAGUGGCUUACCAAGGCUUUGACGGGUAGCCGGCCUGAGAGGGUGACCGGCCACAUUGGGACUGAGAUACGGCCCAGACUCCUACGGGAGGCAGCAGUGGGGAAUAUUGCACAAUGGGCGGAAGCCUGAUGCAGCAACGCCGCGUGCGGGAUGACGGCCUUCGGGUUGUAAACCGCUUUCGCCUGUGACGAAGCGUGAGUGACGGUAAUGGGUAAAGAAGCACCGGCUAACUACGUG
rnacentral:rRNA from 1 species